UACGUAGGGGGCAAGCGUUGUCCGGAAUCAUUGGGCGUAAAGAGCGUGUAGGCGGCCAGAUAAGUCCGCUGUGAAAUCUCGAGGCUCAACUUCGAGCUGUCGGUGGAAACUGUCUGGCUAGAGUCCGGAAGAGGAGAAUGGAAUUCCUGGUGUAGCGGUGAAAUGCGCAGAUAUCGGGAAGAACACCCGUGGCGAAGGCGGUUCUCUGGGACGGUACUGACGCUGAGGUGCGAAAGCGUGGGAGCA
rnacentral:rRNA from 1 species